ACGAACGCUGGCGGCAGGCCUCACCCCUGCAAGUCGCGCGAGGACUUCGGUUCUAGCGGCGGACGGGUGAGUAACGCGUGGGAAUGUGCCCUUCUCUACGGAAUAGCCCUGGGAAACUGGGAGUAAUACCGUAUACGCCCUAUUGGGGAAAGAUUUAUCGGAGAAGGAUCAGCCCGCGUUGGAUUAGGUAGCUGGUGGGGUAAUGGCCUACCAAGCCGACGAUCCAUAGCUGGUUUGAGAGGAUGAUCAGCCACACUGGGACUGAGACACGGCCCAGACUCCUACGGGAGGCAGCAGUGGGGAAUCUUAGACAAUGGGGGCAACCCUGAUCUAGCCAUGCCGCGUGAGUGAUGAAGGCCUUAGGGUUGUAAAGCUCUUUCAGCUGGGAAGAUAAUGACGGUACCAGCAGAAGAAGCCCCGGCUAACUCCGUG
rnacentral:rRNA from 1 species